GACGAACGCUGGCGGCGUGCCUAAUACAUGCAAGUAGAACGCUGAAGGAAGAGCUUGCUUCUCUGGAUGAGUUGCGAACGGGUGAGUAACGCGUAGGUAACCUGCCUGGUAGCGGGGGAUAACUAUUGGAAACGAUAGCUAAUACCGCAUAAUAGUAGAUGUUGCAUGACAUUUGCUUAAAAGGUGCAAUUGCAUCACUACCAGAUGGACCUGCGUUGUAUUAGCUAGUUGGUGGGGUAACGGCUCACCAAGGCGACGAUACAUAGCCGACCUGAGAGGGUGAUCGGCCACACUGGGACUGAGACACGGCCCAGACUCCUACGGGAGGCAGCAGUAGGGAAUCUUCGGCAAUGGACGGAAGUCUGACCGAGCAACGCCGCGUGAGUGAAGAAGGUUUUCGGAUCGUAAAGCUCUGUUGUAAGAGAAGAACGAGUGUGAGAGUGGAAAGUUCACACUGUGACGGUAUCUUACCAGAAAGAGACGGCUAACUACGUG
rnacentral:rRNA from 1 species